CAAUAGCGUAUAUUUAAGUUGUUGCAGUUAAAGAGCUCGUAGUUGGAUUUCGGGUGGGACGCAGCGGUCUCGCAUUGCGUUUGUACUGCUGCAGCCCUCCUUCUUGCCGGGGGCGGCCUCUCGGACUUCACUGUCUGGGGGUCAGAAUCGGCGAUGUUACUUUGAGUAAAUUAGAGUGUUCAAAGCAAGCUUACGCUCUGAAUAUAAUAGCAUGGGAUAACACGACAGGACUCUGGCCUAUCGUGUUGGUCUAUAGGACCAGAGUAAUGAUUAAGAGGGACAGUCGGGGGCAUUCGUAUUCCGUUGUCAGAGGUGAAAUUCUUGGAUUUACGGAAGACGAACAUCUGCGAAAGCAUUUGCCAAGGAUGUUUUCAUUGA
rnacentral:rRNA from 1 species